rnacentral:rRNA from 1 species
UAUCAAUAAGCGGAGGAAAAGAAACCAACAGGGAUUGCCUCAGUAACGGCGAGUGAAGCGGCAAAAGCCCAGAUUUGAAAUCUGGCCUUCGGGCCCGAGUUGUAAUCUGCAGAUGAGUCUUCCGGCAACGCGCCGUCCAAGUGCUCUGGAACGGGCCGCCGGAGAGGGUGAGAGCCCCGUACCGACGUGCGCCGCGCCUCUGUGAAGCUCAUUCGAAGAGUCGAGUAGUUUGGAAAUGCUGCUCUAAUUGUGGGGUAAAUCUCCCAUAAGGCUAAAUACCGGCCAGAGACCGAUAGCGCACAAGUAGCGUGAGCGAAAGAUGAAAAGAGCCUUGAACAAGGGCGUCAAAAAGCAUGUGAAAUUGUUGUGGGGGAAGCGUUCGAUGCCAGACGUGGCGGCGGUUGGUUACCCGGCGUUCUUCGCCGGCGCACUCUGCCGUCGCCAGGCCAGCAUCAGUUCGGCUCGAGGCCUACCGCCGGCGGGAAUGUGGCUCCCUUCGGGGAGUGUUAUAGCCCGUCGGUACCGUCUCGGACCGGACUGAGGACCGCGCUUCGGCUCGGAUGCUGGCGUAAUGGCUUCUAGCGACCCGUCUUGAAACACGGACCAAGGAGUUGACCUAGCCUGCGAGUGUUUGGGUGUCAAGCCCUUACGCGCAGUGAAAGCGAAUGCAGGUGGGAGCCUCGGCGCACCAUCGACCGAUCCUGAAGUUUACGGAUGGAUUUGAGUAAGAGCAUGCUGGGUCUGACCCGAAAGAAGGUGAACUAUGCAUGAAUAGGGUGAAGCCAGAGGAAACUCUGGUGGAGGCUCGCAGCGGUUCUGACGUGCAAAUCGAUCGUCAAAUUUGUGCAUGGGGGCGAAAGACCAAUCGAACCUUCUAGUAGCUGGUUCCUG